CUUCUCCCUUUCAUUUAGUUGGUCAGUCGGUCGAGGCCACCCCUCAAUGCUGCAGCAAUCACCGCGCUUGUUGAUCGUUAGAGGCCGGAGACACACAGUUUCCAUCUUCGGACCGGGGAGAUGACCGUGACGCUCCAGGAUAUUGCUAUGAUCACCAAUCUUCCUAUCGAGGGGAAUCCUCUUUGUAUGAGCACCGAUUCUGAUGGGUGGCGCGAGCAGAUGCCUCCGCUUAUCGGUAUGGUUCCUCCGGAGCCUCGGGAACCAGUAGCAGAAGACAAGAAGAAGUAA
rnacentral:rRNA from 1 species